UACAGAGGUCUCAAGCGUUGUUCGGAUUCAUUGGGCGUAAAGGGUGUGUAGGUGGCGCGCUAAGUCGGGUGUGAAAUUUCGGAGCUUAACUCCGAAACUGCAUUCGAUACUGGCGUGCUUGAGGACUGGAGAGGAGACUGGAAUUCAUGGUGUAGCAGUGAAAUGCGUAGAGAUCAGGAGGAAGACCAGUGGCGAAGGCGGGUCUCUGGACAGUUCCUGACACUGAGACACGAAGGCCAGGGGAGCAAACGGG
rnacentral:rRNA from 1 species